rnacentral:rRNA from 1 species
AGAGUUUGAUCCUGGCUCAGAUUGAACGCUGGCGGAAUGCUUUACACAUGCAAGUCGAACGGCAGCACGGGGCAACCUGGUGGCGAGUGGCGAACGGGUGAGUAAUACAUCGGAACGUGCCCAAUCGUGGGGGAUAACGUAGCGAAAGUUACGCUAAUACCGCAUACGAUCCACGGAUGAAAGCGGGGGAUCGCAAGACCUCGCGCGAGUGGAGCGGCCGAUGUCAGAUUAGGUAGUUGGUGGGGUAAAGGCUCACCAAGCCAACGAUCUGUAGCUGGUCUGAGAGGACGACCAGCCACACUGGAACUGAGACACGGUCCAGACUCCUACGGGAGGCAGCAGUGGGGAAUUUUGGACAAUGGGCGCAAGCCUGAUCCAGCCAUUCCGCGUGCAGGAUGGAGGCCUUCGGGUUGUAAACUGCUUUUGUACGGAACGAAACGGCGAGCUCUAAUACAGUUUGCUAAUGACGGUACCGUAAGAAUAAGCACCGGCUAACUACGUG